AUGGAGAUGAUGACACCCAAGUCCUUGACUGUUGGUGAUGCUUUAUGUAUUCAUACUGUCUGAUCCAC